UUUAUUUGUUCUUAUCACGGGAUUGAUGCUUGGUGGCAAGGCUAAUUAAGUAGAUGGUAAAGUUCGUAGCUAUGGUGAACAAUCUUAACAUAGUUUGCUUUGUCUUAAUUUGUGAUGUUCCUAUCUAUGGUCAACCAUCUGGAUUUUGUCUGAAUUUGUCAAUGCCAUGAAGCAAUCAGUCUUCCCCUCGACCCCUACCUCCUCCGGCUCCCCAUCGCGCCACCUCUCCCCUAUUGGCUCC
rnacentral:lncRNA from 1 species